ACCCUUUUAAAAGCACUCAUUGGGCCUUUCACUAGUGACCCACUGAGCCGUCAAAAAAGGGCAGAGUAAUAAUAACAUCGCUUUUGGGUGAAGUGGCAACGUGUUCUGUUGUUUGACUUCAAUCGGUGGUGUGACAGGA